GACGAACGCUGGCGGCGUGCUUAACACAUGCAAGUCGAACGGUGAAGCGAGUGCUUGCACUCGUGGGUCAGUGGCGAACGGGUGAGUAACACGUGAGUAACCUGCCCAUCACUCUGGGAUAAGCACUGGAAACGGUGUCUAAUACUGGAUACGACCAACCCUUGCAUGGGGUGUUGGUGGAAAGAUUUAUCGGUGAUGGAUGGACUCGCGGCCUAUCAGCUUGUUGGCGGGGUAAUGGCCCACCAAGGCGACGACGGGUAGCCGGCCUGAGAGGGUGACCGGCCACACUGGGACUGAGACACGGCCCAGACUCCUACGGGAGGCAGCAGUGGGGAAUAUUGCACAAUGGGCGAAAGCCUGAUGCAGCGACGCCGCGUGAGGGAUGACGGCCUUCGGGUUGUAAACCUCUUUCAGCAGGGAAGAAGCGAAAGUGACGGUACCUGCAGAAGAAGCACCGGCUAACUACGUG
rnacentral:rRNA from 1 species